rnacentral:rRNA from 1 species
GCCGCGUGUGUGAAGAAGGCCUUUGGGUUGUAAAGCUCUUUUGCGGGGAAGAUAAUGACUGUUCCCGAAUAAGAAGGUCCGGCUUAUUUCGUGCCAACAGCCGCGGU